rnacentral:pre_miRNA from 1 species
AACACAAUUGCUGGGUUAUAUGGUGAGAAUAUGUUUAGUUUUAUAAGAAACUUCCAAACUGUUUUCCAAAGUGUCUGCACCAUUUGCAUUCCCACCAGCAAU